rnacentral:rRNA from 1 species
UACGAAGGGGGCUAGCGUUGCUCGGAAUUACUGGGCGUAAAGGGCGCGUAGGCGGACAGUUUAGUCAGAGGUUAAAACCCAGGCUCAACCUUGGAAUCGCCUUUGAUUACUGGCUGUCUUGAGUACGGGAGAGGUGUGUGGAACUCCGAGUGUAGAGGUGAAAUUCGUAGAUAUUCGGAAGAACACCAGUGGCGAAGGCGACACACUGGCCCGUUACUGACGCUGAGGCGCGAAAGCGUGGGGAGCAAACAGGGAUUAAGAAACCCUGAGUA